rnacentral:RNase_P_RNA from 2 species
GGUCUUGCCGUGAGGAAAGUCCGGGCUUCACAGAGCAGGAUAACGGAUAACAUCCGCCGGAGGCGACUCCCGGGCAAGUGCAACAGAAAUAAACCGCCUGCAUUUUCGGGUAUUCCCGCAGGCAGGCAAGGAUGGAAAGGCGAGGUAAGAGCUCACCGGUGCGGCGGAGACGUCGCAGCCAUGUAAACCCUAUCCGAAGCAACACCCCACCGGGCGUUAAUGUCUGCUCGGCAGCCCAACGGGGUGGCAUGAGGCGCACGGCAACGUGCGUUCGAGACAGAUGAUUGUUCACGACAGAACCCGGCUUACAGA